rnacentral:misc_RNA from 1 species
GAUGAAGAACGCAGCGAAAUGCGAUAAGUAAUGUGAAUUGCAGAAUUCUGUGAAUCAUCGAAUCUUUGAACGCACCUUGCGCUCCUUGGUAUUCCGAGGAGCAUGCCUGUUUGAGUGUCAUUAAAUUCUCAACCUCAUCAGUUUUGUUAUGAAGCUGUGUGAGGCUUGGAUGUGGGGGUUUGUGCAGGCUGCCUCAGUGCGGUCUGCUCCCCUGAAAUGUAUUAGCGAGUUCCAACUGGGCUCCGUCUAUUGGUGUGAUAAUUAUCUACGCCGUGGAUUGGGCUUAGACUUGCUUCUAACCGUCCGCAAGGACAAUCUUUUGACAAUUUGACCUCAAAUCAGGUAGGACUACCCGCUGAACUUAAGCAUAUCAAUAAGCGGAGGA